ensembl:lncRNA
UCCCAAUCCAGACAAAGGGGACGACGGAUCCGCGGCGGCGCGCACUGAGCCUGAGCAUCUCAGCACCUUGGAUUGAUCCGACGCGCAAGAACGCACCGGCACACACGCGAGCACGCCCUCCAGAUCUACCUGAAACCUCCACGCCAGUUAAUUGUCAUUGUUGAAGGGCGAGAAAAGGGAGAUUGAACCCCGAUUUUAUUCGCAGCCUCGCCGUGUUCCCAUGAUGUCAUACCUGUGGAUUCUGCUAUUAGGAAGCCUGCUGGCUACGCACGCCAAGGCACAAGAUGAUAUAAUCCCAACAGUAGAGCCAUCUAUUGAAACUCCCACAUCUAAAGCAGAUGUAGAGGUCAUCGACCAGCAUAACCUUGGGGAGGUGGUCACUGCAACUGAGGAAGUAUUGCAGCCUGAGCCCACUGCUGACCCUGAGGCUGAAUUAAUCCAAGAAGCAAAUGCUGCAGAUGUAAGCACAGAGCCAGUGCCUACAGAUGCUCCUGCAGGGGAGGAGGGUCAAUCAGCGAGUCCUACGACUGGAGAAACAGAACCAGUUAUUUCUGACGCGCCUACAACUACACAAGCUGCUGAUUCUGAGGAUGACACUCCAGAAGCUACGCAAACAGCAGUUAAUGAGGAGGCGCAACCCACCACAAAUGCGAAUACAACACCUGCUCAAGACGAGAGUGGACUUCAUGACAUCAUAACAACAGUAGGUCUAGAAGCCAAUGAGGAGGCACCAACUGAUCCAUCUGCUAAUGAAGAGUCAUCCACAGAUGAUUUCACAACCACAGAUGAAACUGUCACUAUAAAUCCAGGGUUUAACAUUGAGAAGACGUCAAUUGCAGAGCAGGAAACACAUGUGUUAAACCAGGAAACUCCCGUGAAGAGCAGGAUGGGACCACGGCAGAAUUCAGGUAAUAAUAAUAAUAAUAAUAAUAAUGGAUUGGAUUUAUAUAGCGCUUUUCAAGGCACCCAAAGCGCUUUACAAUGCUACUAUUCAUUCACUCUCACAUUCACACACUGGUGGAAGCAGCUACGGUUGUAGCCACAGCUGCCCUGGGGCCGACUGACGGAAGCGAGGCUGCCAUAUUGCGCCAUCGGCCCCUCUGCCCAACACCCGGGGAUCGAACCGGCGACCUUCCGGUUACAGAUGCGCUUCCCAUCUGUAACCGGAAGUUGGGAAGUUGGGAAGUUAUUGCUCAUAAUAAUUUCAAUUCAGUUUAGUGUCGUAACCAAUAACCAUCUCUUAGGGAUCAACUGUCAUGGCCCCAUCGACAUGGAGGGCUACAUGCUUUUUGCUUCAAUGUUUUUAAAAACACAUUGGCAAGAUUGAUUGACUAACAGGCUUAUUGAUUGUCUAAUUUAUUGAUUGAUUGAUUGAUUAAUUCAUUCAUUUAUUCAUCCAUUUAUUGACUAUUUUACUAUAUACAGGGUUAAACCAGGAAAGUCCCGUGGAGAAGAGGGUGGUAGCACACCAGGAGUUAGGUGGUUAGUAAUUGCUCAUAACAAUUAAAAUUCAGUUUAUUCUUGUAACCAAUAACCGAAAAUGUCCAGAAUAAAUAAAGAUAUGAAACAACACAACCAGUGCAAUGAGAUUAGCCCUGUUUACGACAGCGACUAGAUCUUAGGGAUCAACUAUGAAUAGUUGUAUUUGUAUAUCCAGUUGAGUCUUUUGCCUUAGCUGCCAUCAUCUAAUUAUCUAUUAUUUUUAAGUGGUGAAAUUAGAGUCUUAAAGCCAUUAAGAUGCAAAAUAUUACAGGGGAAAUUAGUGACAAGACUGUUGUCAUCUUCAUAAAGGUUUAAAAAAAAUAACAAAGUUAUUCCUCUACCAAAAAUUUUUUUAGCACUUGAUCACUUGAAAACUGCAUCACAGACUGGGGUUUGAGAUGGUCCUCUGGUAGCUCUAGAGCCUGGUACAACAGGGCUAAUGCACCAUAUUCACAGUAGGUCUUGAGCAAGGGUUAAAUUGGGAUUUGAAACUUCUUAGAGUACUUAUUAUUUGUGAAUAGUGGUCAAUAUUUUAGUGGGUGUUUAGCCUACUGUAUAGUACAUCUACCACUGAAUGUAUUCAUAUUAACACAUUUCAGUGCAAAAUUAGUUCAUACUGUUAGCACCUGUACAACAUAACCAGCAAGAAGUGUAUAAACUAUGCAUGAUAUUGUUUAAGUCAAACCAAAUGCUAAUCGUUACUGUGUAGUUAAAUGUGACUGAGCUCAAGACGCUGGCAGCUCCCAUUUAAAUCCAAUGAAAGGGGGACAGAAACACCAUGUUAUAGUGUGUUAGAUUUGUGAUAUGUAUUCAUAAACAUCUGAUAAGAAAUUCCCAUUCCGAGAAUAAUUUUGCAUUUCUUUAUUGAUCCACGGUAUUUGUUAAUUUUAUUUCAUUUAUUUUUUUAGCACCUCUGUCAAACGACGAAAAUAAAAGCGAAGAUGUGCCUGCUUUGGGUGCCUCAGGGAGUGAUGCAGAUCAACAGCCCCAAAAGGCCAGCUCAAGCUCUUUAGCAGCAAUCCUUAGUGCGAUUGUUGUGUCUGCAGUGGGAGCAAUCGCUGGAUACUUCACCUAUCAACAGAAGAAGCUGUGCUUCAAAAAUAGACAGGAAGCAGACCCUGAGGCUCCACACAAAGCUGAUGCAGCAGAGGCUCGGUCAGAUCCCCAGGUUCUUAGCAACCUUCUGAACUCCUCCUAGACCUGAAACGAUCACCUUACCGCCCGGGCCAACUACAGUCUAACAAAGUGGCAGUCUCACUGUUCGGCUCUGUCCUCUGUAGAGCUAAAUUACUGUGAGGCCCCAGAGUAGGGCUGCGUGUUUCAGUCUGAAUUUCUAUGUCUGUAUGUUGCUCUACACGAGCUUGCGUGGAUGUGUCUCAGUGUGCGUGUGAAUAAUAUCCGUUCAUUCUUGUGUGUGCAUAAAUGUGGAAAGAAGGAGCUAGAAAAAGAUCAUGUGAUCUUUAGGGCUUUCAUUAUUGUUAAAAAAAUGUAUUAAAAUAAUUGGUCAAACACUCUACUUUAAACCAAAUUAUUAUAAUUUUUUUCAGAGUGGCCAUUAAAGAGAUUUAAUCUCAAUUUACGUAUAACCAUAAAAUGGAUUAAUUAUAUACCUACCUUUUAAUUUUAUUUAUAUGGCUACUAUUAAUUCAAUGUAAAUACAAAACAGUAACUGAAAUCGAUGUUGUAGGUGUUUAACUUGUAAUUGUUUCUUUGGAAUUUUAUACAAUUUUGCCAUUGUUGAACUGCCCGUAUGAUUUUAAAUCAUUUAGAUAAGACAUUUCUUUUUCAAUUAUCUAUAGUACAGAUGCAGGUUAACUGGAUAACAGGGGGACACAGUAGCAAGCAUUUUGUGGAGUCUGGUUAGGAGCUGUGGUAAAGGAUUUAAAGACGAGUAUUCUUGGGAUGCGUGGUCAAAUGUGUUUAGAUGACCACCGAUGUCACUGAAUGUGUGUGCUUGUUUUCUGAUAGGUGAAGGGGCUUGAUUUAAAAUCCUGUUAAGUGACCGUUUCUCCUCGGUCGGUUGAAUACAUUAAAAGAUGACACAAAUCAAAUACAGCCUAAGAUUCAAGUCAUAUUAAUUUAGGAAAUACCAAAAACAAGCCAACAAAAAUAUAUUGUGUAAACUUACUAAAGUACGAUGAAGUAAAGUCUAAUCCUGACAUGGACAAAUUCAAUGGAGGUCAUGUAGUAAUGUAUUAGACUUUGUUCUGAUGUAGUAUGUGUGUAGUUGUGAAGCAGUCUUUUUUUUUUUCUCUAUAGUGCCUUUCACUGACACAGCCUGGCUUGAGCAAUCUACAGACACACAGAGAAGAUAUACAGGGUGACAAAUUAAAGGAUGGUUUAUGCUGCAGGGAGAUUUUUUUGUUGCUGUUUCAAAUUUCAAAUUUCUGAGCUAUUCUAAAUUUAAAACAUUUCACUUUGAUGGCUGAAGUCUCUUACAAGAUGAAAAUACACCCAUCCAAAUUGCCUGUUUAAUUGCUUGGUAAGAAUGAAAAUAAUGGGAUCCAUAAACUAUGGACUUAUCAGUCUGAGAUCUCCCCCCAGGUCUCCAACAACGUUAUCAAAAUACAUAAUGAGGGAAUAUUUUUUCAGAAGAAUAUUGUUUUAUUCCUCCAAUAGUUCCAGAGACAUGAACUGGCUUAACACUUUAAACACCCUUAAUGCUGGGUCAACCUUUAACUUUUUACCCAUCUGUUACUGAGAAGACAAGCAAACCAGUAGGAGGCUAUAACAAUGAAAGAGUGUUCUGUAUUCAUUCUUAAUCUGUCAUUUACGCAAUUACAUUUUUUAAAAUUAAACUGCUCAUGCAUGUAAAAUAAUAACACAAACAUAACAGCUGCUGUAUGUGUGUCCACAGUCGGGCCGUUUACAGUCUUAGUUAUUUUAGCUAAUCUUGCAAUCUAAACUCUUUCAACCACCUCCGCUGGUGGCAGAUGUAAAACUCUUCUCAUUGUGUGUCUCUUUAUUUGAGCAAGCCAGCUGCUGUAACAGUGUAUUUUUAUUGUUCAUGUAUCCACAUUACAAACGCCAUUCACUUGUGAUUUUUUUAUAGGAAUCCUUUACAUUUAGCAGCCAUGCCUCGGAGCCGACAGAUUGUCUUUAGUCAACUUGUUUGCUGUGCUAUUUUGUUAAUAUUAUUGUAAAAUGCAAAGAAUGCAGCGCUACGGCUUUUUUCCAAAUGUAGCACACACACAAAAAAAUCGUAACUUCUGAAUGUCUUUUUUGUUGCCUUGAAGUUUUGUACUUGCCCUGCUCCCUUUAAACUUUGAUAUAUGGCUAUAGAGGCUGCAUAGUGCUGCAGGUCAUGUAAUGUGUGUUACUUGUAAAGCACCAUAUAGCUGCAAUACAGGACAGAGACUGUUGCUAACAGCCUAGCCUCAAGCUGAGAAAUGUUAAUAAUCUGUGAUCAAUUCCACUCUACAAACUGUGGGUCAGACGCAGUGUCAGCGAUCUGCCUUCUUAACCUGUAAUCUGUGACAGACAAAAGCUGUUUUCUCUUGUAACACUGAACUACGUAGAUAGUGUAUCAGGAGUGACAAUGCACAAAAAAUACCCACUCAAUAAUAAUAAUACAAAUAGGACUAGCCACCGAUGCCUUCAAAAUACAAAUUUUUUCUUUAAAUGCAGUACUGCCCUGCAGUGAACAAAAGCACUGAAAUGUCCUGCGAUGCUCUUUUAGAUAACUUCCUGUAAUGGAGACUCGUACAAUAAUCCAGAAAAAUUCGAUAUGCGUUGCUUGCACUGAGGACAUCAUGGUCAACAAUACAUUUUGCCGAAACACUCUCGGUCAAUAAUUCAGUCUUAUUUAUAUUAUAUCAAUUCACAACUACAGUCACCUCAUGGUGCUUGAUCCCAGCAAUACAAAGUAUCAGAACACAGCAUUCAAACUAGAAUGUAAACCUUGAGUGUUGUAAACUCAUUGGGUCCUGAAGUGCACUUGCCACAUAACACUAGGGCAUCAAUCAUGGCACUGACCAGUCCUGCCUUAUUCCUUAUAUGCUCUUGAAUAUUCCUGAUAGGAAAACAAACAAUAAUGUCAUCAUAAAAAAACGACACAGCGACACAAGCAGAGAUUUUUUUUGUAAUCUCAAUGGGAGAAGCACGUUCCUAUCCUGUAUACAUCUUGAUUUACUACACAUAUAUAGACAAUUCAUUUGUUCUUCUUCUGACUUCCUGUUUAUUUAAAUAUUCUGUGUGGUUUUUGUGUAGGAACUGUCCUUUUUAUUUUUGUCAUCUGGCACUUGUGUUCUUCUGGAGUUGUGUAAAUAAUGUUUGAGGAAUCAAUUAAACAGUUUUUGUGGGAUUUCUUUUUCUUUCAUUUUUAGCCACUGUUGAUAGACCAGUUCAUCACUUUGGUAUACAUCAAAAACUCUUCAGUGAUGUAAUGGAUUAUUGUAGAACGGACAUUCAAGGUCACCAGAAGAUUAAUUGAAUUAGCACCAUCUAAAGUUAUUGUAGUUUGACAAUUACUUUGGUUUAUGCCAAAAUACAUUAGUAUUUAGAUUUCCCAUUAGUCAAAGCAGUGUUUGUUUUUAUUGCUAAUUCUAAAAUGUAUGUUUUGUUUGUUAAUGUGCUCAAAUCUAAUGGCAAACAUGUAGACUGGCCACUUCAUCUGGUACACCUGUUAACACAAAUUUCUAAUCAGCCAAUCACAUGCUGGAAACUUAAUUUAUUUAGGAAUAUAGACAUGGUCAACAUGACAUGCUAAAAUUCAGAGUGUCAGAAUGUAAAAGAAAGGUGAUUUAAGAUACCCUUUUGGUGUCAGACAGUCUUGUCUGAGCAUUUCAGAAACUCAGAAACACCGCAACCAUCUCUAGGGUUUACAGAGAAUGGUCCAAAAAAAGAGAAAAGUUCCAAUCAGCAGCAGUUCUCUGAGUGAAGAUGCAUUAUUGAUGUCAGAGAUCAUAGGAGAAUUGCCAGAUUGCUUUGAGGUAAUAGGAAGGCAACAGUAACUCAGAUAACCACUUGUUACAACCAAGCCACACAGAAGAGCAUCUCCAAAAGUGCAAUUUAUCUGCAAUUUAACAGCAGAAAAACACACUAGGCGUUGCUGCUGUCAGCUAACAACAGUAAAGUGAAGCUAGGAUUCAUGUAAGCUCACCAAAACUGGACAAUGAAAACUGAAACUGAAAACAUGGAUCUAUCCUGUCUUCUAACAACUGUUCAAGCCAAAUGGUGGUGUUAUAACGAAUAUAAUAUUUCCUUGGCACAGUUUCAGCCCUUAAUACCUACUGAGAAUCACUGAAAUCCCACAGCCUGCCGCAGUAUUGUUGCUGACCAUGUCCAUCCCUUUAUAACUAGUGUAUACAUCUUCUGAUGGCUGCUUCCUGCAAGGUAACAAAUCAUUUCACAAAGUUCAGAUCAUCAGAAACUAGUUUCUUGAACAUGACAAUAAGUUCAAUGUACUCAAAUGGCCUCCACAGUCACCAGAUCGCAAUCCAAUACAGCACAUUUGGCAUGUGGUGGAACGGCAGAUUGUUGUCAUGGAUGUGCACCCAACAAAUCUGCAGCAACGGCAUGAUUUUAUCAUAUCAGUACGGACAAAAAUCUCUGAGGAAUGUUUCCAGCAUUUUGUUGAAUUGAUACCACAAAGAAUUAAGGCAGCUAUGAAGGCAAAAGGGGGUCCAACUAGUAGUAGGGUGUACCUAAUGAAGUGGGCAGGGAGUGCAAUUCUGUAUGGUAAACACCAAUGCCCUAUGGGUCUUAUGAGCAUGUGGUUGUGACCAAUGAGUAAGCUUCAAUUACUGUUAUUUUACCAUACAUACGAUAUAAAUACAGUAAAAGUUAUUCUAUUUUGUGUUUGUGGCUUUUUGUGUAUGUGAUCUGUCGAAAAGUUAAUAAAGUUCAG